rnacentral:siRNA from 1 species
UCAUCUUCACUGUAGCGUAACUGG